rnacentral:rRNA from 1 species
GCUCAGGAUGAACGCUGGCGGCGUGCUUAACACAUGCAAGUCGAACGAAGCACUUUAUUACGAUUUCUUCGGAAUGACGAUUUAGUGACUGAGUGGCGGACGGGUGAGUAACGCGUGGGUAACCUGCCUUAUACAGGGGGAUAACAGUUAGAAAUGACUGCUAAUACCGCAUAAGCGCACAGGAUUGCAUGAUCUGGUGUGAAAAACUCCGGUGGUAUAAGAUGGACCCGCGUCUGAUUAGCUGGUUGGUGAGGUAACGGCCCACCAAGGCGACGAUCAGUAGCCGACCUGAGAGGGUGACCGGCCACAUUGGGACUGAGACACGGCCCAAACUCCUACGGGAGGCAGCAGUA